rnacentral:rRNA from 1 species
GUGGGGAAUAUUGCACAAUGGAGGAAACUAUGAUGCAGCGACGCCGCGUGAAGGAAGAAGUAUCUCGGUAUGUAAACUUCUAUCAGCAGGGAAGAAAAUGACGGUACCUGACUAAGAAGCCCCGGCUAACUACGUGCCAGCAGCCGCGGUAAUACGUAGGGGGCAAGCGUUAUCCGGAUUUACUGGGUGUAAAGGGAGCGUAGACGGACGGGCAAGUCUGAUGUGAAAGCCCGGGGCUUAACCCCGGGACUGCAUUGGAAACUGUCCAUCUUGAGUGCCGAAGAGGUAAGCGGAAUUCCUAGUGUAGCGGUGAAAUGCGUAGAUAUUAGGAGGAACACCAGUGGCGAAGGCGGCUUACUGGACGGUAACUGACGUUGAGGCUCGAAAGCGUGGGGAGCAAACAGGA